rnacentral:rRNA from 1 species
UGGGGAAUUUUGGACAAUGGGGGAAACCCUGAUCCAGCCAUCCCGCGUGUGCGAUGAAGGCCUUCGGGUUGUAAAGCACUUUUGGCAGGAAAGAAACGUCAUGGGUUAAUACCCCGUGAAACUGACGGUACCUGCAGAAUAAGCACCGGCUAACUACGUGCCAGCAGCCGCGGUAAUACGUAGGGUGCAAGCGUUAAUCGGAAUUACUGGGCGUAAAGCGUGCGCAGGCGGUUCGGAAAGAAAGAUGUGAAAUCCCAGAGCUCAACUUUGGAACUGCAUUUUUAACUACCGGGCUAGAGUGUGUCAGAGGGAGGUGGAAUUCCGCGUGUAGCAGUGAAAUGCGUAGAUAUGCGGAGGAACACCGAUGGCGAAGGCAGCCUCCUGAGAUAACACUGACGCUCAUGCACGAAAGCGUGGGGAGCAAACAG